AGAGUUUGAUCAUGGCUCAGGGUGAACGCUGGCGGCGUGCUUGACACAUGCAAGUCGAACGGUAUGUGGCAACACAUAGAGUGGCGAACGGGUGAGUAACACGUGGGAACGUACCCUACGCAGGGGGAUAACUGACCGAAAGGACAGCUAAUACCGCAUAAGACCGAAAGGUGAAAGGUGCAACUGCACCGGCGAAGGAGCGGCCCGCGGACCAUCAGCUAGUUGGUGGGGUAAGAGCCUACCAAGGCAACGACGGAUAGCCGGCGUGAGAGCGUGGCCGGCCACAAGGACACUGAGAUACGGGUCCUACUCCUACGGGAGGCAGCAGUGCGGAAUUUUAGAUAAUGGAGGCAACUCUGAUCUAGCGACGCCGCGUGCAGGAAGAAGGUCUUCGGAUUGUAAACUGCUGUGGUAAGGGAAAAAUGCCAUGUAGAGUGGAAAGCUACAUGGAGGGAUGGUACUUUACUAGAAAGCCCCGGCUAACUACGUGCCAGCAGCCGCGGUAAUACGUAGGGGGCGAGCGUUACCCGGAAUCACUGGGCGUAAAGGGAGCGUAGGUGGCCUGACAUGUCAACUGUGAAAACCCGGAGCUCAACUCCGGACUUGCAGUUGAAACUGCCAGGCUUGAGGACGGUAGAGGAAGACGGAACUGCCAGUGUAGGGGUAAAAUCCUUAGAUAUUGGCAGGAACGCCGGUGACGAAAGUGGUUUUCUGGGCCGGUUCUGACACUGAUGCUCGAAAGCCAGGGAAGCGAACGGGAUUAGAUACCCUGGUAGUC
rnacentral:rRNA from 1 species